rnacentral:rRNA from 1 species
UACGAAGGGGGCUAGCGUUGUUCGGAAUCACUGGGCGUAAAGCGCACGUAGGCGGAUUGUUAAGUCAGGGGUGAAAUCCUGGAGCUCAACUCCAGAACUGCCUUUGAUACUGGCGACCUUGAGUCCGGGAGAGGUGAGUGGAACUGCGAGUGUAGAGGUGAAAUUCGUAGAUAUUCGCAAGAACACCAGUGGCGAAGGCGGCUCACUGGCCCGGUACUGACGCUGAGGUGCGAAAGCGUGGGGAGCAAACAGG